GGACGAACGCUGGCGGCGUGCUUAACACAUGCAAGUCGAACGGGCCUGUCUUCUUUUUUGGGGGUGGGUUGAGUGGCGAACGGGUGAGUAUCACGUGAGUAACCUGCCCUUCGGUCCUGGAUAACCGCUUGAAAGGGCGGCUAAUACGGGGUGGUCCGGUUGGUCCGCAUGGGCUGGUCGGGAUAGAUUCACUGUUUUUGGUGUUUCGGCGGGGGAUGGGCUCGCGGCCUAUCAGCUUGUUGGUGGGGUGAUGGCCUACCAAGGCGGUGACGGGUAGCCGGCCUGAGAGGGUGGGCGGCCACACUGGGACUGAGAUACGGCCCAGACUCCUGCGGGAGGCAGCAGUGGGGGGUAUUGCACAGUGGGCGGAAGCCUGAUGCAGCGACGUCGCGUGAGGGAUGGAGGCCUUCGGGUUGUGAACCUCUGUUUCCGGUGGUGAAGGCCCUGUCCGUGUGGUGGGGUUGACGGUAGCCGGGGAUGAAGCGCCGGCUAACUACGUG
rnacentral:rRNA from 1 species